AAAAUCCGUCGACUUCAAAAAUCGUGAGGGUUCAAGUCCCUCUAUCCCCAAAAAG
rnacentral:tRNA from 1 species